rnacentral:rRNA from 1 species
CGGACGGGUGAGUAAUGUCUGGGAAACUGCCUGAUGGAGGGGGAUAACUACUGGAAACGGUAGCUAAUACCGCAUAACGUCGCAAGACCAAAGAGGGGGACCUUCGGGCCUCUUGCCAUCGGAUGUGCCCAGAUGGGAUUAGCUAGUAGGUGGGGUAAAGGCUCACCUAGGCGACGAUCCCUAGCUGGUCUGAGAGGAUGACCAGCCACGCUGGAACUGAGACACGGUCCAG